AGAGUUUGAUCCUGGCUCAGAACAAACGCUGGCGGCGUGUCUUAAGCAUGCAAGUCGAGCGGCAAGGGCAGCAAUGCCCCUAGAGCGGCGGACUGGUGAGUAACGCGUGGGUGAUCUACCUUGGGCAUGGGGAUAGCCAUUAGAAAUAGUGGGUAAUACCGAAUACGUUCGUUACCGUGAGGGUAACGAGGAAAGGCGCUACGGCGCCGGCCUGAAGAUGAGCUUGCGUCCSAUUAGCUAGUUGGUGAGGUAAMGGCCCACCAAGGCGAUGAUSGGUAGCCGGCCUGAGAGGGUGUACGGCCACACUGGGACUGAGAUACGGCCCAGACUCCUACGGGAGGCAGCAGCUAAGAAUAUUCCGCAAUGGACGAAAGUCUGACGGAGCGACGCCGCGUGGAUGAWGAAGGCCGAAAGGUUGUAAAGUCCUUUUGCUGGGGAAGAAUAAGCGUGGGAGGGAAUGCCCGCGUGAUGACAUGAACCGGCGAAUAAGCCCCGGCUAACUACGUGCCAGCAGCCGCGGUAACACGUAGGGGGCGAGCGUUGUUCGGAAUUACUGGGCGUAAAGGGCAUGUAGGCGGCYUUGUAAGCYUGGCGUGAAAUUCCACGGCUUAACCGUGGGAAUGCGUUGRGAACUGCRAGGCUUGAGUGACGGAGAGGGAGCUAGAAUUCCUGGUGUAGGGGUGGAAUCUGUAGAGAUCAGGAAGAAUACCAAUGGCGAAGGCAAGCUCCUGGCCGAUGACUGACGCUGAGGUGCGAAAGUGUGGGGAUCAAACAGGAUUAGAUACCCUGGUAGUCC
rnacentral:rRNA from 1 species